rnacentral:rRNA from 1 species
AUUGAACGCUGGCGGCAGGCCUAACACAUGCAAGUCGAGCGGAUCGGCGGCCGGGUGCGUAAUGCCUAGGUAUCUGCCUGGUCGUGGGGGAUAACGUCCGCAAACGGGCGCUAAUACCGCAUCCUAUCAGUUGAGCCUCGGUCGGAUUAGCUAGUUGGGGGGGUAAAGGCCUACCAAGGCGACGAUCCGUAACUGGUCUGAGAGGAUGAUCAGUCACACUGGAACGGAGAAAGGUCCCAGACUCCUACGUGAGGCAGCAGUGGGGAAUAGUGGACAAUGGGCGAAAGCCUGAUGCAGCCAUGCCGCGUGUGGGAAGAAGGUCGUAGGAUUGUAAAGCACUUGAAGUGGGGAGGCGUUACCAACAGAAUAAGCACCGGCUAACUCCGUGCCAGCAGCCGCGGUAAUGC